rnacentral:rRNA from 1 species
GAGUUUGAUCCUGGUUCAGAUUGAACGCUGGCGGCAGGCCUAACACAUGCAAGUCGAGCGGAAACGAGUUAACUGAACCUUCGGGGAACGUUAACGGCGUCGAGCGGCGGACGGGUGAGUAAUGCCUGGGAAAUUGCCCUGAUGUGGGGGAUAACCAUUGGAAACGAUGGCUAAUACCGCAUAAUAGCUUCGGCUCAAAGAGGGGGACCUUCGGGCCUCUCGCGUCAGGAUAUGCCCAGGUGGGAUUAGCUAGUUGGUGAGGUAAUGGCUCACCAAGGCGACGAUCCCUAGCUGGUCUGAGAGGAUGAUCAGCCACACUGGAACUGAGACACGGUCCAGACUCCUACGGGAGGCAGCAGUGGGGAAUAUUGCACAAUGGGCGCAAGCCUGAUGCAGCCAUGCCGCGUGUAUGAAGAAGGCCUUCGGGUUGUAAAGUACUUUCAGCAGUGAGGAAGGUGGAUAUGUUAAUAGCAUAUUCAUUUGACGUUAGCUGCAGAAGAAGCACCGGCUAACUCCGUGCCAGCAGCCGCGGUAAUACGGAGGGUGCGAGCGUUAAUCGGAAUUACUGGGCGUAAAGCGCAUGCAGGUGGUUUGUUAAGUCAGAUGUGAAAGCCCGGGGCUCAACCUCGGAAUUGCAUUUGAAACUGGCAAACUAGAGUACUGUAGAGGGGGGUAGAAUUUCAGGUGUAGCGGUGAAAUGCGUAGAGAUCUGAAGGAAUACCGGUGGCGAAGGCGGCCCCCCUGGACAGAUACUGACACUCAGAUGCGAAAGCGUGGGGGAGCAAACAGGAUUAGAUANCCNUGGUAGUCCACGCCCGUAAACGAUGUCUACUUGGGAGGUUGGUGGCCCUUNAACUCCGUGGCNUNUCNGUAGCNUAACGCGGCUAAAGUAGACCUGCCUGGGUGGAGU